GUCUAUAGCUAUACCACCCUGAACGUGCCUGAUCUCGGAAGCUAAGCAACAGGAUAAGGCCUGGUUAGUACUUGGAUGAGAGAGAGACAUCAGUAAACUUCAGCCC
rnacentral:rRNA from 1 species